UAGGGAAUAUUGGACAAUGGGGGAAACCCUGAUCCAGCCAUGCCGCGUGAGUGAAGAAGGCCUUAGGGUUGUAAAGCUCUUUCGCCCGCGACGAUGAUGACGGUAGCGGGAGAAGAAGCCCCGGCUAACUCCGUGCCAGCAGCCGCGGUAAUACGGAGGGGGCUAGCGUUGUCCGGAAUUACUGGGCGUAAAGCGCGCGUAGGCGGUCCACCAAGUCGGGGGUGAAAGCCCGGGGCUCAACCCCGGAAUGUCCUCCGAGACUGUUGGACUGGAGUUCGGGAGAGGAGAGCGGAAUUCCCAGUGUAGAGGUGAAAUUCGUAGAUAUUGGGAAGAACACCGGUGGCGAAGGCGGCUCUCUGGCCCGCAACUGACGCUGAGGCGCGAAAGCGUGGGGAGCAAACA
rnacentral:rRNA from 1 species